UUUUAUUUGAGAGUUUGAUCCUGGCUCAGGAUGAACGCUGGCGGCGUGCCUAACACAUGCAAGUUGAGCGAUUUACUUCGGUAAAGAGCGGCGGACGGGUGAGUAACGCGUGGGUAACCUACCCUGUACACACGGAUAACAUACCGAAAGGUAUGCUAAUACGGGAUAAUAUAUUUGAGAGGCAUCUCUUGAAUAUCAAAGGUGAGCCAGUACAGGAUGGACCCGCGUCUGAUUAGCUAGUUGGUAAGGUAACGGCUUACCAAGGCGACGAUCAGUAGCCGACCUGAGAGGGUGAUCGGCCACAUUGGAACUGAGACACGGUCCAAACUCCUACGGGAGGCAGCAGUGGGGAAUAUUGCACA
rnacentral:rRNA from 1 species